GAGGAAGGAACGCGCCUGGCGUCACUGAGGGUGUCACCCGGGACCGCGGCUCAGGAACCCCAGACGCACGGGCCUUGUGCUGUCGCUGCCGUGGCACCCCUUCUAGAAGGACUCUAUUCUCUAUAACAGAAGUGGGAGCCUUGGACAACUGAACGCCUAUCUCUAGCUCAAGAAAUGUCAGCUCUUUUUUUUUUUUUGAGACUGUCACCCAGUCGGGAGUACAGUGGCGCCAUCUUGGCUCUCUGUAACCUCCACCUCCUGGGUUCAAGCGAUUCUCCUGCCUCAGCCUCCUGAGUAGCUGGGGCUACAGGUAUGCACCAUCACUCCUGGCUAAUUGUUGUAUUUUUAGUAGAUAAUGGGGUUUCACCAUGUUGGCCAGGGUGGUCUCAAACUCCUGACCUCAGGUGAUCUGCCUGCCUCGGCCUCCCAAAGUGCUGGGAUUACAGACGUGAGCCACCAUGCCCAGCCAAGAAAUGUCAAUUCUUUAUCGUAGCCUGGCUUUCCAUAUUUCUCACUAGGGUUUUUAUUCUCUAGUUUGUAAAUCACAUUUGGCGUUUGUAGAUCACUCCUUCCCUUUUAGUGGCAUUCUCUAUUAGGUGUCCAUCUCCCAAUAUGAAGAAACAGUUUUCUGCUUUUUCCUCCUUUAUCUGAUCCAUUUACAGAUUUAUUACAUUUAUAAUAGGCUAGGUAUUGGGGAUACAAAAAUGAAUAAGAUAUGGUCUGUUUUCAAAGGUAUGCAGAAACUUUUCUAUAUAUUCCUACUGACUUGUAUUUGUAUUUCUUGAAUUAAAAACAAUCCUGGCUGUGUUUUUUUUUUUUUUUUUUUGCUCUUAGUGAAUCUUUGUUUCUUCUUUUCAUUAUGGCAUUCCAGUUGAGUUUCACCACGCAUUAUCAUGAGAAUAAAUAAUUUCACUGACUUUAAUAAUA
rnacentral:lncRNA from 1 species